GAUGAACGCUGGCGGCGUGCCUAAUACAUGCAAGUCGAGCGAACGGACGAGAAGCUUGCUUCUCUGAUGUUAGCGGCGGACGGGUGAGUAACACGUGGAUAACCUACCUAUAAGACUGGGAUAACUUCGGGAAACCGGAGCUAAUACCGGAUGAUAUUUUGAACCGCAUGGUUCAAAAGUGAAAGACGGUCUUGCUGUCACUUAUAGAUGGAUCCGCGCUGCAUUAGCUAGUUGGUAAGGUAACGGCUUACCAAGGCAACGAUGCAUAGCCGACCUGAGAGGGUGAUCGGCCACACUGGAACUGAGACACGGUCCAGACUCCUACGGGAGGCAGCAGUAGGGAAUCUUCCGCAAUGGGCGAAAGCCUGACGGAGCAACGCCGCGUGAGUGAUGAAGGUCUUCGGAUCGUGAAACUCUGUUAUUAGGGAAGAACAUAUGUGUAAGUAACUGUGCACAUCUCGACGGUACCUAAUCAGAAAGCCACGGCUAACUACGUG
rnacentral:rRNA from 1 species